rnacentral:rRNA from 1 species
CUCCGACGUUCAGGGAAGGCACAGAUCGAGAGGAGGACGGCGAGAUGCAGUGUUGCACGGAGCAGCCGCCUCCUCACGCCUUUCGUCAAAGCCACCCGACUGAUGCUGCUUGCACACGUGCUUGACCACCUGUUGCUGUCGUGGCCGAGGAAGAGGAGCAGCAGCGGCGGCCGGGGCUGUUGUUGCUUGCGCGUGCUUGCUGCUGCUUGGUGCUUCGGCCGAUGCUUGCGGCUGCGCCGCUGCUGUCCGGCGAGGAGCAGCGAGUGUAGCCUGCUGCUGCUGCUUGGAAGAAGAAGAAGAAGAAGAAGAAGAAGGGGACAGGACCUGUGGCGGCGCGAGGAGCGGCGUCUCCGGCGAGGAGCGGCGAC